GUGCUCAUUUUGGCAGCAUAUAUAGUAAUACUAGAAUGAUACAGUGAAGAUAAACAUGGCCUUGGUGUAAGAAUGACAUAUAAAUAAAUACAUGAAACAUUCCCUAUUUUA
ensembl:snRNA U6 U6 spliceosomal RNA